rnacentral:rRNA from 1 species
GAUGAACGCUGGCGGCGUGCCUAAUACAUGCAAGUCGAGCGAACGGACGAGAAGCUUGCUUCUCUGAUGUUAGCGGCGGACGGGUGAGUAACACGUGGAUAACCUACCUAUAAGACUGGGAUAACUUCGGGAAACCGGAGCUAAUACCGGAUAAUAUUUUGAACCGCAUGGUUCAAUAGUGAAAGACGGUCUUGCUGUCACUUAUAGAUGGAUCCGCGCUGCAUUAGCUAGUUGGUAAGGUAACGGCUUACCAAGGCAACGAUGCAUAGCCGACCUGAGAGGGUGAUCGGCCACACUGGAACUGAGACACGGUCCAGACUCCUACGGGAGGCAGCAGUAGGGAAUCUUCCGUAAUGGGCGAAAGCCUGACGGAGCAACGCCGCGUGAGUGAUGAAGGUCUUCGGAUCGUAAAACUCUGUUAUUAGGGAAGAACAUAUGUGUAAGUAACUGUGCACAUCUUGACGGUACCUAAUCAGAAAGCCACGGCUAACUACGUG